AGAGUUUGAUCCUGGCUCAGGAUGAACGCUAGCGACAGGCCUAACACAUGCAAGUCGAGGGGUAACAGGGAGCCUGCUCCGCUGACGACCGGCGCACGGGUGAGUAACGCGUAUGCAACCUGCCCAUAGGAUCGGGAUAGCCCCCCGAAAGGGGGAUUAACACCGGAUGAGACCCGGGGGCCGCAUGACCCCUUGGUCAAAUGCGAAGCUUAUGGAUGGGCAUGCGUCUGAUUAGCUAGUUGGCGGGGUAACGGCCCACCAAGGCGACGAUCAGUAGGGGUCCUGAGAGGGAGGUCCCCCACAUUGGUACUGAGACACGGACCAAACUCCUACGGGAGGCAGCAGUGAGGAAUAUUGGUCAAUGGGCGAGAGCCUGAACCAGCCAUGUCGCGUGGAGGAAUAAGGAUCUAUGGUUCGUAAACUCCUUUUGCGGGGGGAUAAAGUGCGGGACGCGUCCCGUUUUGUAGGUACCCCGCGAAUAAGCAUCGGCUAACUCCGUGCCAGCAGCCGCGGUAAUACGGAGGAUGCGAGCGUUAUCCGGAUUUAUUGGGUUUAAAGGGUGCGUAGGCGGCCCCUUAAGUCGGCGGUGAAAUUUCCGGGCUCAACCCGGUCACUGCCGUCGAAACUGGGGGGCUUGAGUGCGUUUGGGGUGGCUGGAAUGUGCGGUGUAGCGGUGAAAUGCAUAGAUAUCGCACAGAACGCCGAUCGCGGAGGCAGGUCACCAAGCCGCAACUGACGCUGAGGCACGAAAGCGCGGGGAUCGAACAGGAUUAGAUACCCUGGUAGUCCGCGCAGUAAACGAUGGACGCUCGCCGUUCGGCAUUGCGCCGAGUGGCCAAGCGAAAGCGAUAAGCGUCCCACCUGGGGAGUACGCCGGCAACGGUGAAACUCAAAGGAAUUGACGG
rnacentral:rRNA from 1 species